ACUCCACUGCUCUCGUGAAGUACCUGAAAUGAUGACGAUCAUUGAAAUCACUCACUUUACAAGUUUGAUAAACAUAAUAAUAAGAAGCAGACGUCACAGAUGAAAGGUCAAGGUAAAGUUCAACAAACAAAAUUGAGCAUUGCAAAGACAAACGAGUUCCUGUGAAUGAUGAAGAAACAUGAGAAGGCGUUGAUAGUUUGAUAGCAAUAGUGAUAUUUUUAUAAGAAAAAAGUAAACAGCAUCAUUCUUAUUCUCGUCUACUCGCCUACAAAAUCGUAAAUAGCACGGAAAAAUUUUUGAUUUGAUGUAACUGAGGUGAAAUGUGCGAAAAUGGUAAAAUUUUCAUUUUGA